UUUGCCUAUGUGUGUAGCGCUACAUAUUAGAGAGGGCCAACAAACUAUGGAUCCAGACGUUGUGAAACAACUGAUGGAUUUUCAUCCGCCAUAUCUAUCAUGAUGGCUUGACUAGCAAAUCAAGAGAAGAGCAGAGUCCUUCAGGAUUAAAGAUGGCGAUCUACGCUACAUAUGCAGGAGGAAAAAAAACAGGGCUGAGCACCUUGCAAAAGUGGUCUUAUCAGCUAAAGAAGCCAACAUGCUCUUUGAAGAGUUCCGUUGUAGCCAAAUUGGUGGACACGUUGGAACAGAAAAAACUCAUCUGGCCAUCAUUCAAAGAUUGUAUUGGCCUGGCAUGCGGAGGACAUCCGCAUGGAUUGCUGAGUGUCCCCAGUGCCAAUCCAAGAGGGCCAAUAUCAAGGAGAAGAAAGACUACAGUCCCAUAGAGGUAACAGAGCCUCUGGAGUUUGUCGGCAUAGACCUAGUGGGUAAACUUCAUGUAACCGAUGGUGGCAACCAGUACAUAUGUGUAAUGGUUGAUUAUUUCACCAAAUGGGCAGAGGCAUACCCACUUAAAAACAAAACAGCAGAUGAGGUGACCAAGUGUAUUAUUGAUUUAUUUUACAAAUUUGGUGCACCUAAAAGGCUGCUAACAGAUCAAGGUGGGGAACUUUGUAAUGAGGUACUACUUUGAAGAAUUAUGACUCCCCAUUAUGUAACUGCUGUGCUAACUUAUUUCCUGUUUGUCCCAAUGUUCACUUCAAGGUCAACUAUAACCUUUGUGAGAGGCUGGGCAUUCAGAGAAGCCUGUGCUCGCCUUACCAUCCACAGACUAAUGGGCUGGUGAAAAAACGAAAUGGCACAAUACAAAGGUAUAUUUUGUUCAUCGAAUAACUGUGAUGCCCCUGUGGGGUCAUCUGGAGAGGGUGUGGCUGUGCUGCAUCCAGCCGCCUUGAUUGCAGUAACUCAGGGCACCUGGGUCUGGUGCCCUGCAGCUAUUUAAAGCCUCUCUGCUCCUCUCGGUCUUCCCUCUGCUUUUUCCUGCAGGCGCCCGGUUCUGUUGAGUAUGCUAUCAGUUAUUUCAGUUGCUUCACUUUGUGCACCUCAACACCCUCACACAUACAUGUCCAUGCAACCCUCACCCUGCAUUUACACUACUGAUACCACUGACGUCCACACCUCAUACUUUGCACUUAAUUAAUUUGGUUGAUUUGAAUUGUUUGUUUAAACAUAUUUUGCUAACUGUUGAUAUGGUGUGUCUCCUCUUUGUUGUGUGUACUUUAGAAGAAAGUAAAUUCAUGUUUUCUUGUGAUAAUGUAAUGUGGUUAUAAAGAUCAUAUAUUACAUUAGACACACAAAGAUUGUAUGUUAUAUAAAUACUACACUGUGAAGAUAACAUUUACGUUUUGACAUGAUCAAUAUAAAAUGUUGAUCUUUGAUCCACUUAAAUGUCUGCUCUAGGAUCCUGAGAUCCAUUGCUUCGCUGGUCUCCACCGUCUCCACCAACACAUUUGGGGUUCGCGGGUAAUUCCUAAUUGCCUUGAGUAAAUGUACGUGAUGAAACACCAUUUUCACUCUUGUGGUGAUUUAUCCCCAUCUGAAAGGAAAGGGGUGUAACAGUGGCGGGUGAGCCAAAACGGUGGGACCAACUCCUCCAAGGGACCAUGUUUGGUCUAAGAACCAAACAGUUGACCACGAAGUUCAGCCCAUAUUAUCUGAUGUUUGGGAGGGAGGCGAGGUGCCCCAGGAGUACAAAAUAACGGAAGAGAGUCUGCAGCUUGGUGCAAAGGGAGGAAGUCUGCAGCUUGGUGCAAAGGGAGGAAGUCUUCCAGGGACUCCAGAAACAGGAGGCAGUUUUCGCAGAGGUCACAACUAACAUGACAAAAAGCCAAGAAAAGAUCCGCAAGAGGAAACGAGACCACAGGCAAGUGGACAAUUUCCAAGAGGGUGAUUUGGUUUUAAAACAAAAGGUUGGAACAAAGGAAAGGCGAAAGCUAGAAGCAGAAAUGGUGGGACCAUAUAGGGUUUUACUAAUUGAGGGGAAAGUAGCAGACCUUGGGACAGAAAAGGGGAAAAAGAGAAUCAAUAUUGAUAAUUGAAAACACUAUGUCCAGCCUGAGGAGAGGAUCCCUGCCAAGUUAAAAAAAAGUGUUGGAUCCUUCUCCUCUGGCUGGUCCACUGACCCCCACACCCACCUCCACACCCACCUCCAUGACUGACUGCCAGGCACGAGGAGCAUCCUCUGAUGUAGAGACUUUAAUCUGAGACAUAUGGGCAGGGAGGAGAAAAGAGACACUGGGCGCAUACAAAAUAUACAGUGAAAAUCUUUUGGUGUUGGCCCCGGGAAAGGAGUUGGAGGGAGAGAUUGUGAAUGCCUAUCUGGCAUGGAUUGGGGCCAAAGCUGGGGUGUUCAUUGUGGACUCCUACCUGAUGACUUCCCUCUGGCAGGGAACCCACAAGGGAGGGUUAAGAAAGUUGGACAGAUGCGGCAGCCGGAGCUGUCUGUGACGGGGCACACUGGACACUCAUUGUAAGCAGAUGUAAAGAUUUAACAAGAUCGCUGGUCUGGAAAAACAGACCUUCAGUUGGGAGAUGGGCCUGCACGACCAUCAGGAUUCUACAUCCUGUGGUGUGUUGGUUCUGAAGGUAACAUUUAGUAAUGUCUGUGUAUAUAUAACUAUCUGUAAUUAACAAAUAUUACGAAGAUACUUAUUACAGAGCUUUUAAGCUUGCAGAGCAAAUACUUCUGAAAACAAAGGUCCAGUAUGCCGUAGGGAUGGGAACGAUUAUUCGAAAUUAUUCAGGUACUCGAAUAUGAGUUAUGCAUAUUUUUAUUUUAUUUGGUUGGAGUGCCUACAUAUUAUCAAAUGGAAUAAUUCAAUGUAUACGACAGUGCCAUAGCUAAAUGUGUUGGGUCUAAAAGUGUGUUUUGCUCCGCUCACCGGUCCCUCACAGCGGGCAGAGCUGCAGGUGCUGAUCUCUCUCUCUCGCGUCCGGUUAUACUUCACUCGCGUUUAUGUCCAAAUCCAUCAGAAAACCAAGUUAUGUUUUAAGCAUGAAAGCUGUAGGCCUAUAGCUGUUGUGACGACCCCUGCUUUACUGUCUCCUGUGUAUGGCCCUUUUAAUGUUCUCCCUCUGUUUGUGUCAGCGCUGUUUGAGGACACCUGGCUGCUGGCACCGGAGGAUUUAAAGGCCUGAGCCAGAGUCUUGAUCUCUCUCCCCGCAGAGGACCUGUUCUGGGAGAGCAGCUAAUUAUUUUGUCUUGCCUUUUUGUUUGGCUUUGGUCACAUUGAAUUUUGUUAAAAUAAACAUCUUUCAUAUAUAUAU